GCCAAGAGGAAAAGCCAGGGAGAGGUUGGGGGAGGCAGUACUGAGAACAACAUAGGUGCAUCAUGGGUAGCAUUUUAGUCACAAAUGACAUAAUGUAUCUUCCAUGGCUAAUUCAAGUCAUUCUUCAACCCUCAGCCAAAUGGCAUUUCUUGGGGGUGUUCUUCAAUGGCCUUCCGAAUUACGAUAGAUUCCCAUUAACUACUUGUUCUAUAAUAUCUGAUAAUCAUUGCUGUUUAUAGAAGCCUUACUCUGAAUCGGGCACCGCUCCAGGAAAUAUCCCCAUAAUCUCUGACUUCUGAGCCUCCAGUCCCUGUUCUUGGCAACCCAACCUACAUAGCUACUAGAGAAUGAAAGCUGGAGAGUGGUGAUGAGUCAAGCCUUUGAGACCCCCAGCAGAGCUGAUGGCUGAACCCAGCUACCCUCUGCAUCUUCCCAAGUGAUGUUUCUGCCACACUCAACUGUCUGCGGUUCAGCCUCUGCCACACUCAACUGCCUGCGGUUCAGCCUCUGCCACACUCAACUGUCUGUGGUCCAGCCUCUGCCACACUCAACUGUCUGUGGUCCAGCUUCUGCCACACACAACUGUCUGGAGUUCUCCAUAUCUGGACUACUUUUUCAUGCCCAACAUUGAUGCCUACUAUGCCUCCUACUGGAUCCUCAGUGUGAACCUCUUAUUUGCUGAUGAAAAGAAUGAACACAUUCAUUUCUUAAUGAAACCAAAUGAAAAGAAACAACAGAUGUGUUAUGUGCCCUGCUUGGCCAUCUUUAUCUGCAGUUGUGUAUCCCUUAUAUCUGCUUCCCAAAUGCCUCGCACAGUAUCUGUAACCCAGGAGGUCCCAAGUCACGUCUUUAGAAAAAAUGGGUAAAGAAAUGAACAAAUGGAUGGACAUCAUCAGCUGAAGACACAGUGGGUACAAAGCAAUGAUCUUCUUCAUGAAGGAGCCAAGGGUAUUUGCUAGUUUCCUUAAAGAGUGAGGAAGAUGCAGGUCCUAAGAGGUAAAAUCAUCAUAUAUGACCACUGGGAACCUAAGACAAGGCAUGUUCUUGUUCUACUUCGCUUUUAAUUCUUCUGAUACUGAUUGCAAUAGUGUAAGGGUAGCACAAUAUAAUAGACAGAGAACUGCCUUGGGAGUGAAAAAACUUGAGGUCAAUUCUAACAUUGACUCUACUACUAAUUAGCUAUGUGGACUGGAUUCAGCUGCAUCGUAAGCAAGCCAACACCAUGGACCUUCUUUUUAUGAAAGCAAUCAAGCCCCACCCCCUUUCACUUUUUACUUCAGUUGGGCUUUUGACUAUUAAAACUAAAGAAUGUUAAUAGCCUACCUUUACUGUCCCUUAUUGCAGAAUUAGCCUUAUAGUAUCAACACAAAAUGAAAAGAGGGCUUUCUGAAACUUGUUGCAAGUUGCAAAGGGUCUGAUUGAUGAAUAUACAUGCUUGUCCACAGAUCCCUUGCAUUGUAUCUGGUCCUGAUCUAUCCCUAUUUUAUUUAUGGCUCUCAACCAAUACUUAAAGAAAUGACAACCCUGUUUAUCUUACUUUUACAUCGUGAGGAUCUAGAACAAACAGUUAAAAUUAACAUGCAAGAACAAAGACUUGAUGGUCUGCAAAGAGCAAAGAGGACAGAUUUAAUAAGACAGACAGACAAAAAGUCGAUGUAGGCCUCUGAAAUGACUCUCUGCAUCAGUCAAUCAUGCCUUAUCUGCCAAUUACUUAUUUUGUGAGUCAGCUCCCGUGGACAAGAAGGUGGUGGUGGAGCUCAGGUCUGGAACACAUCCCGCAAUACUCGUGGCCAAACUCCUCUUUGUUUUCCCCUUCUCCUAAAACACACUUGGAAACAUUAGAUAAUGUAGGAAACAAAAUCCUUCUGUUUUUCUUUGUAGCUUAUAAUGAAGUUUCCUGUCUGAGCAUAUAUUUUUAUUCUUUGUGGAUAGGGCAUUAUUUCUUAAUUGUAACUGUUUCUAUAGUUACUUGGGAAAGUUGCCCAUAAGUGAUUAAUUAGCUUUUUGAUUAUUGUGUGUUUAAGAGCCUUGAGGUUUAUAGGCAUGUACACCUGAAAAUUAAAAUUUAUCAACAUUA